UACGAAGGUGGCAAGCGUUGUUCGGAUUCACUGGGCGUACAGGGUGUGUAGGCGGUUUGGUAAGCCUUCUGUUAAAGCUUCGGGCCCAACCCGGAAAGCGCAGAGGGUACUGCCAGGCUAGAGGACGGGAGAGGAGCGCGGAAUUCCCGGUGUAGCGGUGAAAUGCGUAGAGAUCGGGAGGAAGGCCGGUGGCGAAGGCGGCGCUCUGGAACGUUACUGACGCUGAGACACGAAAGCGUGGGG
rnacentral:rRNA from 1 species